UUUUUGGAAAUGUCAGAAACCCAAAUAUCCCUGCCAAAACUGUGCCUGAUAAGCCCAAGAAGCCAUCAAUUUUAGAUAAGAAAACAGAACCCAAAUCAUCAAAAUCAAUAAAUAUAGCCUCCAAUUCCCCAGAAAAGUCAAAGGUAAAAUCAAAGAAGGAAAGCACUUGCGUCCAGAAAGUGACAGUAUAUAAUCCUACUAUUUAAC
rnacentral:lncRNA from 1 species